rnacentral:rRNA from 1 species
GACGAACGCUGGCGGCGUGCUUAACACAUGCAAGUCGAACGGAAAGGCCUCUUUCGGGGGGUACUCGAGUGGCGAACGGGUGAGUAACACGUGAGUAACCUGCCCUUGACUUUGGGAUAUCUUCAGGAAACUGGGGCUAAUACCGGAUAGGAGCUCCUGCUGCAUGGUGGGGGUUGGAAAGUUUCGGCGGUUGGGGAUGGACUCGCGGCUUAUCAGCUUGUUGGUGGGGUAGUGGCUUACCAAGGCUUUGACGGGUAGCCGGCCUGAGAGGGUGACCGGCCACAUUGGGACUGAGAUACGGCCCAGACUCCUACGGGAGGCAGCAGUGGGGAAUAUUGCACAAUGGGUGGAAGCCUGAUGCAGCAACGCCGUGUGCGGGAUGACGGCCUUCGGGUUGUAAACCGCUUUCGCUCAUGACGAAGCUUUGUGUGACGGUAGUGGGUAAAGAAGCACCGGCUAACUACGUG